GAUGAACGCUGGCGGCGUGCCUAAUACAUGCAAGUCGAGCGAAUGGAUUAAGAGCUUGCUCUUAUGAAGUUAGCGGCGGACGGGUGAGUAACACGUGGGUAACCUGCCCAUAAGACUGGGAUAACUCCGGGAAACCGGGGCUAAUACCGGAUAACAUUUUGAACCGCAUGGUUCGAAAUUGAAAGGCGGCUUCGGCUGUCACUUAUGGAUGGACCCGCGUCGCAUUAGCUAGUUGGUGAGGUAACGGCUCACCAAGGCAACGAUGCGUAGCCGACCUGGGAGGGUGAUCGGCCACACUGGGACUGAGACACGGCCCAGACUGCUACGGGAGGCAGCAGUAGGGAAUCUUCCGCAAUGGACGAAAGUCUGACGGAGCAACGCCGCGGGAGUGAUGAAGGCUUUCGGGUCGUAAAACUCUGUUGUUAGGGAAGAACAAGUGCUAGUUGAAUAAGCUGGCACCUUGACGGUACCUAACCAGAAAGCCACGGCUAACUACGUGCCAGCCGCCGCCGUAA
rnacentral:rRNA from 1 species